rnacentral:tRNA from 2 species
GGAGAGGUGGCAGAGUGGUCGAAUGCGGCGGUCUUGAAAACCGUUGAACCGCAAGGUUCCGGGGGUUCGAAUCCCUCCCUCUCCGCCA